rnacentral:ncRNA from 1 species
CCGUCGGGAGGCCUUUGGUGGGACAAAGGUCACGUAUGGACGGCACGCCCCCAGUCAUAAGCAGACCACUUUGCAGCCCAGGCAACGUGAU